GAUAGUGUGGCCGAGUGGUCUAUGGCGCUGGUUUUAGGCACCAGUCUCUUUCGGAGGCAAGGGUUCGAAUCCCUUCACUGUCA